GAUAACGCCCCGAAAACCCUAGGUCAGCCAUCUCUCCUCCUCCAGUUCCGUCGCCGCCUCGCCCCCAUCUCCUCCACCUCCACCCACGGCGCCCCCAUCUCCUCCUCCACCUCCGUCCGCCGACGCACCCCCGUCUCCUCCACCUUCGUCCACCGCGCCCGGGAGACAAGCCGACAACGGAUCUGACCGCCCCCAUCCCUGUCCUUCCCCCAAGCAGCAACACCUGUGGAUCUGACCGGAGGUGGUGGC
rnacentral:lncRNA from 1 species